rnacentral:rRNA from 1 species
GAUGAACGCUAGCGGCAGGCCUAAUACAUGCAAGACGAACGGUAAGUUGAGUAGCAAUACUUAGCCAAGAGUGUCGUACGGGUGCGUAACACGUAUGCAACCUACCCUAUACAGGAGGAUAGCCUAGGGAAACCUGGAUUAACCCUUCAUAGUAUUAUUGGAUGGCAUCAUUUGAUAAUUAAAACUGAGGUGGUAUAGGAUGGGCAUGCGUCUGAUUAGUUAGUUGGCGGGGUAAUGGCCCACCAAGACGAUGAUCAGUAGGGGUUCUGAGAGGAAGAUCCCCCACACUGGCACUGAGAUACGGGCCAGACUCCUACGGGAGCAGCAGUAGGGAAUAUUGGGUCAAUGGAUGCGAGUCUGAACCAGCCAUGCCGCGUGCAGGAAGAAGGCCUUCUGGGUUGUAAACUGCUUUUGCCAGGGGAUAAAAUUUCCAUGCGUGGAAAACUGAAGGUACCUGGUGAAUAAGCCACGGCUAACUACGUGCCAGCAGCCG